rnacentral:rRNA from 1 species
UACGGAGGGUGCGAGCGUUAUUCGGAAUUAUUGGGCGUAAAGGGCGCGUAGGCGGCCUCUUAAGUCAGAUGUGAAAGCCCGGGGCUUAACCCCGGAAGUGCAUUUGAAACUAAGGGGCUUGAGUAUGGGAGAGGGGAGUGGAAUUCCUGGUGUAGAGGUGAAAUUCGUAGAUAUCAGGAGGAACACCGGUGGCGAAGGCGACUUCCUGGACCAAUACUGACGCUGAGGCGCGAAGGCGUGGGGAGCAAACAGG